AGUGAACGCUGGCGGUAGGCCUAACACAUGCAAGUCGAACGGCAGCACAGUAAGAGCUUGCUCUUACGGGUGGCGAGUGGCGGACGGGUGAGGAAUACAUCGGAAUCUACUUUUUCGUGGGGGAUAACGUAGGGAAACUUACGCUAAUACAGCAUACGACCUACGGGUGAAAGCAGGGGAUAUUCAGACCUUGCGCGAUUGAAUGAGCCGAUGUCGGAUUAGCUAGUUGGCGGGGUAAAGGCCAACCAAGGCGACGAUCCGUAGCUGGUCUGAGAGGAUGAUCGGCCACACUGGAACGGAGACACGGUCCAGACUCCUACGGGAGGCAGCAGUGGCGAAUAUUAGACAAUGGGCGCAAGCCUGAUCCAGCCAUACCGCGUGUGUGAAGAAGGCCUUCGGGUUGUAAAGCCCUGUUGUUGGGAAAGAAAAGCAGCAGGUUAAUACCCCGCUGUUCUGACGGUACCCAAAGAAUAAGCACCGGCUAACUUCGUG
rnacentral:rRNA from 1 species